rnacentral:tRNA from 1 species
GGACUUGUGCCCGAAAUUAAAGGAUUGCUUUGAUAGAGCAAAAAUAAGGGUUAGAAUCCCUUCAAUUCCU